CAGAUUAUUUGCUUCUUCUUUUUUUCUUCUUUUGUUGUCAUUUUUCUUCGUUCUCUAUCUUUAACUUCCUCUCUCCUCCAGUCGCUCUCACCUUAAACCAGAUCGAAAAACAUACAAAACACCAAACAACCAAAUCUGAAUCGUACCUUCGCCAUCCGUUUCGUCUUCCUUCUCUCUUAGCCUCUCACAUCCUGCUUCAUUUCCUAUGAAACCAAUAUUGGCCCAAAAUCCGUAAUACCCAAAUCAAAAAACCUAACACCUCAGCCCCAAAUACCUCCUCCAAUCUCACUUGCUCUCUCGACUUCUUGCUUAGCAAUCAGUUGCUUGUCGCACUCGAUUUCUGUACUUGCAAUCGAAAUCUUGUGGCUCGUUAGGUAUUUCUUGCUUUUUGGUAUAUGUUUGCAAAAUUGAAAGGGGCUUCUGGGGCGGAAGAGGACUGUGCACAUUGGGUCCAAGAAAGCUGAGAGAGGUAGUGAUGGCUCUUCUAUGGAAGGAAGAAGGUCUGG
rnacentral:lncRNA from 1 species